rnacentral:lncRNA from 1 species
UUAAGGCCUUACCUCCUGGCUGGACGCUGCAUCAUGCUGGCCUUAGCUGGUUUGUGCUCCAGAGCUUGUAUAUCCUGAACUGUCAGUCGACCUAGCUGAACUCCAGCCAGCCUCAGCAGUGUUGUCCCUAAAACCUUUCCAAGAAUUAAUACCUUACCUUGACCACAUGCUGAAGAGCGGGUCUCACUGCUGUCAUUAAACUGUCCUGUGCUACCACCUCAAAGAUGGAUGGCUGGUCAUCGGCCACAGAAGCAGCUGUGAAGUGAGCCCCGUGCUCAGCCAUAGUUUCCUGCGUGUACUGGCUUUCACUGUUCCCACAAACUCUCUCGUGAGCAUGAACUUUUUCGGGAGGAAGAGUAUCAGAUGGGUGCUCAGUCUUAAAGGUAAACUUUCUGCAUGAUAUCUGAAAUUCGAAACUCAAUCUUACGGGCAAAAAUGAACUGGGAAAAAAAGACCUGGAGGCCGAGGGUAGUCUCAAGAAGGUUAAGAACAAAGUUAACUCGGACGUGGGUGGAAGUAGUAUGUGGCGAGGGGGUAACUUGUCAAAUGCUGCACGUCAGGGCAGAGCGUGACUGUGGGGGACAGGUAUGGGGGAAGGAACGCAAUCCUCUGGAGCUGCGAACCAGAAACGCCCCCUCCUCCCCAGUCGUGAGAGCUCAAAAGCCAGCCGACUCUGAGGAUUCAGUCGUGCCACUGUGAGCCCGGGACACGAGGGCUGACUCCAGCUGUUGGCUUUGAGUAUCCCCGCCCGCGCCCGUCCUUGCUCGCUGACCCCAGGCGAGGCGCAAACAACCCACGACGCCACGUUUGAAAGGAGGUCUCCGCUUUAUGACAG